GGCUCCUCAGCUGUCUGCCACGUCGAGCUCCGUGAGGAUCAUAGCGUGUCUAACUUGCUGUACUUUAUGCUGUAACACUCCGGACGGUUUCAGGAGACGCGGCGGAGGAGCGGGCCGAAGCUAACUUCUCAGCACUCUGACUCAGCUACUCAUCCUCAGGAGCCAGAAGCUCAUAGACAGACCAUCAACCCGUGAGAUAGGCAGAUUCAUAUGAAGGAGACGAAGGUUUUUAAAAUCAUCACACAACUGGAGCCACAAGGUUCCUUGUGAGUGAAGACAGAGAGCAAACGGCU